GUCAAACAGAACACUCCAAAUAUCUUGCUAUUGAUCAAUUGUCACAAGAUUGGCAAAUCAUUUUUCACGUCAUUUCAAGACUCUUUUAAUAACAGUCCCGAAUACCAAAGUGCCUUUACCAAUUCACAUUAUCAUCACCCUGGAAAGAUCGUCUCUCCCCACAGUUUUCAGGCAGCAGAGAUGUACAGACCCAGAAGUGGAGAGGUAACCUCAGUCGUUUCACAGCACACUUGCAGACCAGAAAGUAAAGCUUCGGAAUUCUGGACGCACAUUUAAGUGAUGUUACUGCAGACCCUGACGCCAUUCACCUUGGUGAGAUAUUGAGAUUUCCACAGGUGACUUUGUGGACACACGGGGCACUCCAGCCAUGAGGACUUGGGCUGUUGUGUUCGUAUCAGCAGAAGCAGUCUGAGUUCCACCUCUGAAGGACAACAUGAAGGUUACUGACCAUCGUAUCAUGGCAUCCAGAGUUCUACCGUUCAGGAAGCCUCCGUGGACGUCAAAGAAUUGUAGGCUUCUGAGAGUCCCCUCUAAAUGACGGAUGCCAUUGCCCUCCGUGAUGAGCCCUCACGUGGCUCGCUGCCUGGAAAGGAGUGGAUAGAGACCUCACAGCUGCGCUGGGCCGCAGGAGAGAGGUGGGGCAGGAGAAGGAGAUGGAGCCCAAGACCAGCUUCCUGUUUCACACGCUUUCCAGGUUUGGCCUUAAGUACUGGCUGGAGGGGCAGACACCCAGCUCCCACUCCACCAUGCCACGCACGUGACGGCAACACUCCAAUCACCCCUAAGGCUCAGAGAGCAGACACAGUCCCUGGGCCCUCCUGGGCCUUGGCUGCUACCAACCUCAGAGCAGCCAGAAGCAAACCUGCCAGGCAGUCUCAGCUUGCUUUACUGCGGAGGUUCAUGCUGAACAGAGAAAGCGUCAAUAACAACUGUGUUUGAGCCCCUGUUAUAUUCCUGGCCCGACCACAGGGUCUAUGAUGUCACCACUUCUGGACAUCCAGAGCCACCAUUUUAAGCAUCCGAGACUUGAUGGUGUGCCCCUGGCAUACAGCUUGGUGUCCGCAGAUGUCCUCAAGCUUUGUGAAGGCACAAUUUCCACAUAUAGUUCUCUUUUAGUGCCUUCGUUUUAUCCUCAAAAAUAGGAUGUUGUCUCUGAAUCCUGCAGAGAACCAGACAGUGCUCGCUAGGUGGCUAUUGGUUGAUUCACAGCCCUGGCAGAACAAAUUCUGAAUCUGAUCAUGGUUGGGCACAAUCGCCCCCGCCUCUUGCAUAUCCUCUCUCCAGAAUAGUUUUUGUAUAUUCCAAGCUAAAAUCUGAUGACUUUAAUCCUAAGGAACAUCUGCUCUGCAUUAUCGCAAACAGAGAUUGGCGACCUUUAACCUUGAUCCAAAGCAGCAAUAAGACAGGAGUCAGCCUCACUAGGCCAGUUGACGUGGGACACAGUCAGCGAAAACAGCCACUCUCUAGGCACUAUUACCAAAAUCCAGGAUGUCGGUUUGACCAGCACAAUCUGCACCAUGAUGAGGACCACAGAGAUUUUGAAACAAGACAAACCCAGGUUUGAAUCCUGCAGUUACAGUUACUUCUUGGUCGUGAGGCUCCAGGCUCAUCGUGUGGCUUCUCUGAGGCUCAGUCUCCACGUCUUAAAGUGAAGAAAUGGCCUCACUUCAUGCUCUGUCAUGGGGAUUAGAAAUAAGCAAAUUCUGAGCCAGCAAGUGCUGACAGGACGACAUCCUUGGCUCAGUUCUCUCAGAUGUUGUCAUACUUGCAGCUUCACCCUUCUUCCCACUCGAGUCUGAAAUAUCUCUAAACUCCAGAUCUUUGUGCAGCCAUGUCCUCCCCUGCAUCACCACUCCACUCCUCGCAAUAAGGAGAGCGCGUGUUAAUUUUCACAGAUUUUCUCCCCAUUACAGAUAAUUCACUGUCAUAAAGUGUCAUAAAGACUAUGGCGUUUUAAUUCCCCAGCUCAAGGAAGACAUGGCAGGUCCUGAAGGCUGAGAGCCAGGGUCACCCAGGGACAAGAGCGCACAGUAUAAUCAGAGGCGUCCACAGCCACAGAACACCAGCUAUCAACUUAUUCCUCAGACUGGACGCUAAUGAAGCCACUCCCUGCAGAUACACUAGGAGUUCAACAGGUCUCUCUCUCUGUUUUGUGCUGGUCUCAGCCUCUCAAUAACCAGUGUUGUGGUGGGACCAGCCCUUGUGGUUCUUGCUGUGAUUGUGCCCUUCAGCAACAACCGUCAGGAAACUUAAAAAAAAAUAAAUAGAAUUUGUGACUUACAGGACCUGGAAAUCACACAGCACACCUGGGGCCACAUGGCAAGGUCAAGGGAGGGAGAGAGAGAGAGUACAUGGGCCUGGGGUUCUGCUUUUAUUGGGGUCGACCGUGGGGGCCCAGGGUUCCAGGGGCUCACUCUUCACUGGUGAAUUUAAAACAUAAGAGUGAGAAUUUAAAGUGCAG
ensembl:lncRNA